UAUGAAUUUCCAUUCAAUCUCUUUCCAAUUUCUACGCAUUCUCCAUCUUCCCUACAACCUUCCAAAAUAAAGAUGGCUUGCUACAUCGCUACAUCACUAGCUGUCUCCUCUCUCAAAGGAUCUGCUGGGCUGAUCCCAGUGGAUCACACUGGAGUAGCUCUUCCUGCCUGAGAAUAGUUUUUGCAACCUGGACAGCUCUCUCAGCAUGUUCUUUACUCUGAGCAUAAUGAGGACUAGAUGUUACAUGGUGUCAUGGUCCGGUGACUGGCUGUGCACAGUUUUGCUGAGUCCACCUCUGAGCGGAGCCCUCAUCAACACACCUGCCAUACUCACCUGCCUGUGAUCUGGGAUAUUCAGCCAGCAGUAUUUAAGACCAGCGCACCCAACUAUCCUUCGACAGUUCAUCUGCUAACAUGCUAGUUAUAUUAAUCAUGUUCUUGUUAAAAUGGACCUUUUUUCUCCUUGUGUUCUUAGUAGCUUCACGGAUCCUUCAUACUCCACAAUUCACUCACCUGGAUGCUGUUCAACCCUGGAAACUGACUGUUGGUUCAUGCUCAGAGACUCAUCACUCUUCACCUGCCUGCCCUCCUGCUACUGCAGUCCCAGAUCACUGGAUCAUUCAGGUUGGACUCUGCUCACUCUCAUCCCGUCUGGACACUUACCUGGCCAACACUGCCUCCCCCCUAGGCACUCUCUACCUACUAGCAAAAGACCCUCGUUCAAGUCUCAUGUGCCACGAACUAUUUCCUGACCAUUGUUCCAGUUUCACGCUCCAUGCAUUAUUCCUUUGAUUGUUGCCUUCUUUUGUUUUUGUAAAUAAAGUCUCAUUAACCCUGA
ensembl:lncRNA